GAUGAACGCUGGCGGCGUGCCUAAUACAUGCAAGUAGAACGCUGAAGGAGGAGCUUGCUCUUUCCGGAUGAGUUGCGAACGGGUGAGUAACGCGUAGGUAACCUGCCUGGUAGCGGGGGAUAACUAUUGGAAACGAUAGCUAAUACCGCAUAACAGUAGAUAUUGCAUGAUAUUUGCUUGAAAGGGGCAAUUGCUCCACUACCAGAUGGACCUGCGUUGUAUUAGCUAGUUGGUGAGGUAACGGCUCACCAAGGCGACGAUACAUAGCCGACCUGAGAGGGUGGUGCGCCACAACUGGACUGGGACACCGCCCCGACCCCUUCCGGAGGCAGCAGUAGGGAAUCUUCGGCAAUGGACGGAAGUCUGACCGAGCAACGCCGCGUGAGUGAAGAAGGUUUUCGGAUCGUAAAGCUCUGUUGUAAGAGAAGAACGAGUGUGAGAGUGGAAAGUUCACACUGUGACGGUAUCUUACCAGAAAGGGACGGCUAACUACGUG
rnacentral:rRNA from 1 species